rnacentral:rRNA from 1 species
ACGAACGCUGGCGGCGUGCUUAACACAUGCAAGUCGAGCGGAGGGGAUAGGAGCUUGCUCUUUGAACCUUAGCGGCGGACGGGUGAGUAACACGUGGGUAACCUACCUCAUGGAGGGGGAUAACACUAAGAAAUUGGUGCUAAUACCGCAUAAAACCGUAAGGUCACAUGACCUAACGGUCAAAGAUUUAUCGCCAUGAGAUGGGCCCGCGGCCCAUUAGCUUGUUGGUGAGGUAACGGCUCACCAAGGCGACGAUGGGUAGCCGACGUGAGAGGGUGAUCGCCCACAUUGGGACUGAGACACGGCCCAGACUCCUACGGGAGGCAGCAGUGGGGAAUAUUGCACCAUGUGGGAAACCCUGAUGCAGCAACGCCGCGUGAGCGAAGAAGGCCUUCGGGUUGUAAAGCUCUGUCUUCCCUGACGAUAAUGACGGUAAGGGAGGAGGAAGCCACGGCUAACUACGUGCCAGCAGCCGCGGUAAUAUGUAGGUGGCGAGCGUUGUCCGGAAUUAUUGUGCGUAAAGGGUGUGUAGGCGGUUUUUUAAGUGGGAUGUGAAAUCCAUGGGCUUAACCCAAGAAUUGCAUUCCAAACUGGAAAGCUAGAGUGCAGGAGAGGAAAGCGGAAUUCCCAGUGUAGCGGUGAAAUGCGUAGAUAUUGGGAGGAACCCCAGUGGCGAAGGCGGCUUUGUGGACUGUAACUGACGGUGAGGCAAGAAAGCGUGGAGAGCAAACAGGAUUAGAUACCGUGGUAGUCCACGCUGUAAACGAUGGGUAUAUAGGUGUAGGGGGAGUAGUCCUCUGUGCCGCAGUAACA